rnacentral:lncRNA from 1 species
GUGAAGGGGUCCACAGCAAAAACUUUCAACCUAAGUGGAUGGAAGACCAAGCAAAGGUGUUUCUAGGUUGAGAGGGGUGUUCCUAGACCAUUGUCAGAGGUAUGAUGCAACUGUAAGCGAUUACAAGGAGCUGGUAAUCGCUUACCUCGCUUUCCAGCACAAAAUUGGCAAUUUGUACCAAAACCUGAGCGUUGCUACCCAGUCAUGCUUGAACAGCUCCCC